UUGAAGGUGGAAGAGAUACAGGUGGAGCCUCCAAAAUCAUCAGAAAUUAGGAUUAAGAUGCUGUGUGCAAGUCUAUGCCACACUGAUAUCCUUUGCUGCAAUGGCCUUCCAGUUCCUUUGUUCCCACGAGUUCCUGGGCAUGAAGGUGCUGGGAUGGUAGAGAGUGUUGGUGAAGGAGUGAGAGGUUUUAAAGAAGGUGACAUUGUGAUGCCAACCUACGUAGG